rnacentral:rRNA from 1 species
AGGGCCCGCACAAGCAGCGGAGCGUGUGGUUAAUUCGAUGUUACACGAAGAACCUUACCAGGGUUUGACAUGCAAGUAUCGGCAGGCGCGAAAGCGUCGGCACCCUCGGAGGCUUGCACAGGUGCUGCAUGGCUGUCGUCAGCUCGUGUCGUGAGAUGUUCGGUUAAGUCCGCUAACGAGCGCAACCCUCACUGUGUGUUAUAUGUGUCACACGGGACCGCCGGUCUUAAGCCGGAGGAAGGUGGGGAUGACGUCAAGUCAGCAUGGCCUUUAUAUCCUGGGCUACACACACGCUACAAUGGCCAACACAAUAGGUUGCUAAGCCGCGAGGUGGAGCCAAUCCAUAAAGUUGGUCUCAGUUCAGAUUGUAGGCUGCAACCCGCCUGCAUGAAGUCGGAAUCGCUAGUAAUCGCGGAUCAGCACGCCGCGGUGAAUACGUUCCCGGGCCUU